rnacentral:rRNA from 1 species
AUUGAACGCUGGCGGCAGGCCUAACACAUGCAAGUCGAGCGGCGCGGCGGACGCGUGCGUAAUGCUUAGGAAUCUGCCUGGUCGUGGGGGAUAACGUUCGGAAACGGGCGCUAAUACCGCAUACUAUCAGAUGAGCCUAGGUCGGAUUAGCUAGUUGGUGGGGUAAAGGCCUACCAAGGCGACGAUCCGUAACUGGUCUGAGAGGAUGAUCAGUCACACUGGAACUUAGACACGGUCCAGACUCCUACGGGAGGCAGCAGUGGGGAAUAUUGGACAAUGGGCGAAAGCCUGAUGCAGCCAUGCCGCGUGUGUGAAGAAGGUCUUCGGAUUGUAAAGCACUUUAAGUUGGGAGGCGUUACCAACAGAAUAAGCACCGGCUAACUACGUGCCAGCCGCCGCGGUAAUAC